CCAGGUCGGGUUGCAGAUGCAGGGGAGUGUGCAGAGAAGAGGUAGUUCAAGUGACUGAACUUCUGCGUCGGUGAAGACUCAGCUGUAAUCUUAUGUGCACUUAACUCAGGCGUGGUGAUUUUAUUUUAACAAGAAAAAGAAACUUUUAGAAUGUUUGAUUAGUGUAAUGUUAUAGUUUUCUAACGUAUACAUUUUAUAUUGUAUUGUUUAAAAUUACUCCCAAAGAAACUUGGCGCUGGCUGCAUGCUGUUGAAGGUUGCGGGUGAAAUUGCUGAUAUCUAAAAGCAGGUAAGCCACUGACUAACGCACAUUGUGUCAGUUGCCAGUUCCACUGUGCGUGUGACAGCGGCUAACCUGGUUUUGGGAGAACCACUAUACCUUUUGUACAUCUGGACAGUACUGACCAGCAGGGAUCAUAUGAGCCAUUUAUACUAUCCAUACCACAGUUCAGUGCUGGGACACGCAUGCUCCACAUGCGCAGUUCUUUCCCAUGCCACUACUGUAUCGUUUAACAUAUAGAGCAGCUCCACUGUCAUAAUCAGCAGGCACUUUUAUGUUUCAUUUUCAUAACCGCGAGGGCUUUAUGUUUCAUUUUCACAAGUGUGAGUUACAGGUUCAAUGUUACCGAGCAGUGCCAUAUCAUUCUACAGUGCAUCUGAGCACAUUUGAGUACUGUAUAUCCCGUCUGACAUCUAAACAAGUUAACAGAGAUUAAAUGAGAUUUCUAAAUGUACACUUAUUUUCACUUAAAAAAAACAACUAAUAUUGACACCAAGUAUUUUUGAAUGUACGUGGCAUGUUUUUAAAUGUCCUGUUUUAAAAUAAAAUAAAAAUUCCCAGCAUUCAGAAGUGUUUUUUAAAGUAAUUUUCCAAUAAUGAACUAUUACUCUUCCUCCCUAAUGCUAUCUAAUGUGAUGUCAACUACCACGGCUACUGCAAAGUUGUAAAAUAAAAUUGCUAAAAAUUCAAUAUGUCUGUGAGGGUGAGCUGUACUCCCAACUGUGCUUUGUGAGUCACUGUGACACAGAUAAGUGCAGUAUGUCAGACUCAUUAACUUGAAGACCCAUUAAUCAUCACACAGUAAUGUGGAUGUGCAGAUGCGGAUGCUCACACCCGUCCACUUUGCUGGGGUUCUUUCCUAGGCACUUUUAAAAAUAUGUGGUCACAUAUAUUAAAAAUGUAUUCUAAAGUGGACUUGUGUGGAGCUUUACUCUGAGUUCAGUCCCAAUUUGAGUCCCUGUUAAUGUCCUGUUAAGAGAUUGUGUCCCCGUUCAGAUUUAAAGUCAGUGAUGUUGCACCAUUUUGACUUUAUGUGAUUGUGGUUGAAAAUGGUGAAAUGUCAUGACAUUGGAGCUUUCAAAUGAAUAAAGCAUUGUCUUGCAGUGUA